AGGCCAUAUCACAUUGAAACUACUGGUUCCUGUAUGAUUACUGAAGUUAAGCAAUAUCGAGCUUGGUCAGUAUCUAGAUGUGUGACCACUUAGGAAUAUAAUGUGCUGUAAU